CCAAAUCCAAACUAGCUAAAAUAAUAUCUAACAUAUACUAAAAAGGGAAUAUACUGAGUGUUUAAGGUGUCCACUUCUACAAAGAAAACCAGCCAAUAAAAAUCAUUCGUUUUGCCACGUCAUUAUUAUUUAUCCAGAGAAAAAUUCAAAAGGCUACCUUUGGGCUUUAUAUUGAUUUUAAAGGUCCAGAUGAUAAGACCCAGAUUAUUUCUUUUACUCUCAACCUGUACCCUAGAAACAAAACAAAAAAACUCUAACGACGCCAAGAUUCCACUUCGUCUUCUUCGAUUAGUCUCCAUCCAAAAUCUCAGUUACUAAACCUCAUAUGCAUCAAUCAAUUGUGCUCUUCAAUACCCUCUUAAUGGAUUCGUUUCGCCUCCUAUUUCUCCUUCUUGAUAAACCACUUCGUGAAAACAUGCAUUCAUUGAAUCCUGAAAAUCUUCUCCCAAGAAGUUGAAACUAUGGCGAUGAAACCACACAGCAAGUCCCCUAUCUCCUCCGCCAAGUCUCACGUAGGUAUGCUCUUCAAAGAUAUCUCACCAAGUCCACACGAAUCCGAGUUACGUCUGAUACACUUCUCAUCUACGAACAGGUCUGUGUGUUUGUUUGGCCUAAUGUUUUUUUCAAACCUCAUCAUCUAAUUAAUCUUCACAAAACACUAAAUGCUUUAUGACCCGACAUGACACUGUGAUUCAAGGGUUCCUACCAUCAGGAAGUGUUCAUAGAUAUUUGCCUCACAUGAAAUAAGGAGAAGUUUACAGACAUCAAUUUCUACGGAUCCAAAAGCAAAGAGGUAUAUCGGGUGGUCAACUCUCUUUUGCUAAGCUUGCUAAAAGAUGCUCUUUGUUGAUUAUAAGACGCUCUUAUUUCUUAAAUUUAGUUUCGAGUUAUUAAACAUGUCUAGGCCCUUGCGUAAAGACAAUCUUUCCAAAAGAUAAAUAUUUAGGUAACUAGAAUCAAAGUCUUAUGGCAACAUCUUUUUCUUACAACCUUGAAUCUCAAUCGCUUUUGCUUCGUUUGAACAGUGAAGUUUUCCUGGCCUUUGAUCCAAUAGCAACAUCUGAACUAACAAAUAGACAAAAUUCCAUGAGAUCGCAACCUCAUUACUAUUUAUGUGGGAAAACCAAAUCGGCAAGGUCACUUAAUACUUAUAAUCAUGAUCAUUGUUUGAGUAAAUUUAGCUUUUGCUACUUAGUUUGCUUUACAGUUUAAAUCCUAACGUUUUAGUUUUGCAUGUGCAGACGAUCAGACACAUUUACGAAGAACUCUACAUUGUUGUUGCCAUCAUUCCUUAAUUGUUCCUCUUUGCUCAGUGUAUAUAGACGUUGGUUGAGGAAAAUGAAAGCAAAGACAGGCCAAAUGAACUGAAGUAUCUAUCCACCAUGUUAGUGGUUGCAGCUAGAACAAACUUCGAAGAAAUGGACUUACUGGCUUAUUGUUUUGGUGGUUGUAACCAUUUCGAGCAUCACAAUAGUGUUCAGUAUUUAUUGGGAAAUUUUCAAGGAUUGGGGUCUCAUGGACCGCAAUUACAAGGAGGAGCAUGGGAUGAUGAGUAUGAAAAUGAUGACGAUGAUUAUGCUGAGAAGUGGACGAGGAGAGGAAAUGAUGGAAAUUGGUCGGCCAGUGGGUCAUUUGGAUUGGGUAGUGAUAGAUCCAAAGUCUGGAAACCAGUUUGAUGUUAAUGAACUUCAAGACGAGGAAAAUCUUUCUACUGCUAAGAAGAAACAUUACCGUAGACAUACAUAUUCUCAGAUCCAAGCAAAUGGAAGUGUAAGUUUAGUAUUUUCUUUUUUUCAUUUUGAUUUUAUCCUCUCUAUGUGUGUAACUCAUAUCAAAAUAUUUUUUCUGCUUCAUCAUUCCAAUCUGAAAAGCAGGAAUGUGUAAAUAUGGGGGAAAUGAAUAAUAUCUGGGAUGGAUUGUUUCUUUUCCAUGUAGUCUAACACCGAAAGCUGUUAAAAACUAUAAACUGGUAUGUUACAUUGAAUCUGUAGCUUUAUGAAAUAAUAUAUAUUUAAUCACAGUACUCUACUGUACAAAAUUAUUGUUUAUAACAAAGACUGGUUAUAGAUAUGAUAAUGUAUGAGAAAAAUCUUCUUUUAGGAUGUUACAUUGAGUUGUGUGUAAAUAAAUUAUUGUAACGUUGAAACUCUUUAAGCUUUGCCGAGUACAUAGAGUUUGCAGUUAUUCAUAUACAACUGAACAUAUAUUCAUCGGUCAUCUUCCUGAGUCUGGCCCUGUUCGGCGGUGAUGCACGGCGGAGUUGCAAUGGUAAAGUCGUGACGUCUCACUACGUUUUUCAGGCCUUGAGUGGACAAGUGUGUACACACCUUUGCUUUAAUACAAGCUCUAACUGCAGUAUUUUGAAGACUAAAAGCUUCAGCUUUCAAACGCUUACCUGAAUCAACUGAUUAGGAUGAUUGUCUAAUUGUGGAAACAGACAUCAUUUAUCAUAUGUUUUUACUAUAGGACAUUAUGAUAAUACCGGUUUAAAGAACGAUUCGCCUGGUUACAUAGAUGUUAAUCUAAUCAUUUGUGUUAUAUACACUACAAGAAAACACAAGUUUUACGAGGGCAGUUUUUCUCGUGAUUUCGUCGUAAAAGCAGUGUUACGAGGAAUUAGCGAGGAAACCCGUUUCGUCGUUAUACGUUUGUCGUAACGCAUAUAUCCUCGCUAAUUCGUCGUAGCGUAGCGAGGAAAUAAUUUCGUCGUAAAAGCGAAGAAGAAUAUUUCGUCGUAAAGACCACGUAAAGCUUCCACGUAAGGACGUCGCUAAAUUUCCUCGUAAAUACCUCGAAAGCCAUUCCUCGUUAAAGCCACGUAAAUAACUCGAAAGUAAAUACUCGUAAAGUAAACGUAAAUAUCUUGAUAGCUUUCCUCGUAAAGACCACGUGAAUUUUCCACGUCAUUUCCUUGUAAACAUUUCCUCGUAAAAACCUCGUUAAGCUUCCA